AGUGAACGCUGGCGGUAGGCCUAACACAUGCAAGUCGAACGGCAGCACAGUAAGAGCUUGCUCUUACGGGUGGCGAGUGGCGGACGGGUGAGGAAUACAUCGGAAUCUACUUUUUCGUGGGGGAUAACGUAGGGAAACUUACGCUAAUACCGCAUACGACCUACGGGUGAAAGCAGGGGAUCUUCGGACCUUGCGCGAUUGAAUGAGCCGAUGUCGGAUUAGCUAGUUGGCGGGGUGAAGGCCCACCAAGGCGACGAUCCGUAGCUGGUCUGAGAGGAUGAUCAGCCACACUGGAACUGAGACACGGUCCAGACUCCUACGGGAGGCAGCAGUGGGGAAUAUUGGACAAUGGGCGCAAGCCUGAUCCAGCCAUACCGCGUGGGUGAAGAAGGCCUUCGGGUUGUAAAGCCCUUUUGUUGGGAAAGAAAAGCAGCAGGUUAAUACCCCGCUGUUCCGACGGUACCCAAAGAAUAAGCACCGGCUAACUUCGUG
rnacentral:rRNA from 1 species